rnacentral:lncRNA from 1 species
CAAACAUUUGCUUCGGUGAUGUGCGCGAGUUAGAUGCUCAGCGUUAUUUUAAUUAAGCCUUGUGACGGAUGACUCUCAAGGAAGCAGCUGUUCUGGAGUAUUCAGGUGGCUCAGAGACCCCGGCCCAGUGAGAGUCCCGCCGUGGAUGGGCCCAGAGGGUCUGAGAGCAGGACACAGCCCGCAGGGGAGAGGACGGUGUCCCUGCUCACCAGGCCCCGGGCCCACCUGCCCGUGGACUCCGGCCGGGCUGGGCCUGCAGAGACCAGGCAACGGGACAGGGGAGCGGCCAGCCCGCGACGGGACGGCUGAGCCCCAGGUUGGAUGCAGCCAGGUGUGCGCUCGUGCCCCCACGGGCAGGGGCCUCAGCACGCAGAACCCACCCAUACGGGGGACCCGUGCCCAGCUCAGAACGAGGCUGAGAUCUAAGCCAGUCGGAGGAAUCUGUUGUCUUUGCUGUGGACGGACCCAGACCAGCUGCACGACCUUGGCUGGACCAACCACAGGACAUGUCUUGAGAUCUCCCCCUGCCGCCCAUGACAAAAUCAAUAAGAA